CCCUUAGAUGUUCUGGGCUGCACGCGUGCUACACUGAUUACUUCAACAAGUGUUUUAACUGGAGAGUUUGCGUAAUCCUGAAAUGUUAUCGUGAUGGGAGUAGAGUAUUGUAUUUGUUAAUCUUUAACGAGGAAUUCCUAGUAAGUGUAGGUUUAUAAGUUGUUCUGAUUACGUCCCUGCCCUUUGUACACACCGCCCGUCGCUACUACCGAUUGAACGGUUUAGUGAGGGCCUCGGAUUGGUCUCGGCCCGCUCUUUACCGGGCGGCGCCGUUGGUCGAGAAGACGCUCGAACUUGAUCGUUUAGAGGAAGUAAAAGUCGUAACA
rnacentral:rRNA from 1 species